rnacentral:lncRNA from 1 species
ACCAGGACAGCGGCCUGGGCUACAAGGACCUGGACCUCAUCUUCUGCGCCGACCUGCGCGGGGAAGGGGAGUUUCAGACUGUGAAGGACGUCGUGCUGGACUGCCUGUUGGACUUCUUACCCGAGGGGGUGAACAAAGAGAAGAUCACACCACUCACGCUCAAGGUUUUUCAUCGACUUCUCAGACAUUGGAGAGCAGCAGAGAAAACUGGAGUCCUAUUUGCAGAACCACUUUGUGGGAUUGGAAGACCGCAAGUAUGAGUAUCUCAUGACCCUUCAUGGAGUGGUAAAUGAGAGCACAGUGUGCCUGAUGGGACAUGAAAGAAGACAGACUUUAAACCUUAUCACCAUGCUGGC